rnacentral:rRNA from 1 species
AACGAACGCUGGCGGCAGGCUUAACACAUGCAAGUCGAACGCAUCGCAAGAUGAGUGGCAGACGGGUGAGUAACGCGUGGGAACGUACCCUUUACUACGGAAUAGCUCCGGGAAACUGGAAUUAAUACCGUAUGUGCCCUUCGGGGGAAAGAUUUAUCGGUAAAGGAUCGGCCCGCGUUGGAUUAGCUAGUUGGUGGGGUAAAGGCCUACCAAGGCGACGAUCCAUAGCUGGUCUGAGAGGAUGAUCAGCCACAUUGGGACUGAGACACGGCCCAAACUCCUACGGGAGGCAGCAGUGGGGAAUAUUGGACAAUGGGCGCAAGCCUGAUCCAGCCACGCCGCGUGAGUGAUGAAGGUCUUAGGAUUGUAAAGCUCUUUCACCGGGGAAGAUAAUGACGGUACCCGGAGAAGAAGCCCCGGCUAACUUCGUGCCAGCAGCCGCCGUAAGAC